rnacentral:rRNA from 1 species
AUGAACGCUGGCGGCGUGCCUAAUACAUGCAAGUCGAGCGAACAGACGAGGAGCUUGCUCCUCUGACGUUAGCGGCGGACGGGUGAGUAACACGUGGAUAACCUACCUAUAAGACUGGGAUAACUUCGGGAAACCGGAGCUAAUACCGGAUAAUAUAUUGAACCGCAUGGUUCAAUAGUGAAAGACGGUUUUGCUGUCACUUAUAGAUGGAUCCGCGCCGCAUUAGCUAGUUGGUAAGGUAACGGCUUACCAAGGCAACGAUGCGUAGCCGACCUGAGAGGGUGAUCGGCCACACUGGAACUGAGACACGGUCCAGACUCCUACGGGAGGCAGCAGUAGGGAAUCUUCCGCAAUGGGCGAAAGCCGGACGGAGCAACGCCGCGUGAGUGAUGAAGGUCUUCGGAUCGUAAAACUCUGUUAUUAGGGAAGAACAAAUGUGUAAGUAACUAUGCACGUCUUGACGGGACCUAAUCAGAAAGCCACGGCUAACUACG